rnacentral:misc_RNA from 1 species
AUCAUAUUAUCAAAUACUCAAAUCCAUAUAUGUAUAUGCACAGCUGUAACAAACUGAAUAUAUAGAACUUGUAUACAUAAUCAAAACAUAUCUUUUGAAGCCUAUGAUCUCCGAUCUUUAUCUGUUGACUUAUGCGGGGUAGAGGAUGAUGGUCAAUUCUUUGGAGAAGGAGAGAGUUCACCACCACUAGGCAAGUCUUCUAGAGCAGCAAGAAUCCUUCGAAUGCUAACAGAACGAGCUGUCUUGAAGCUAGAUGAUCUAUCUAUGGUCUUGGAGAAGAUGUUUGAUGAUUUGGAAAGGAUGAUAUAAACCAGUGCUUGCA